GCGGGAGUGCCAGAGCGGCCAAAUGGGUCAGGCUUAGGACCUGAUGGCUUAGUGCCUUCCAAGGUUCAAAUCCUUGCUCCCGCA
rnacentral:tRNA from 1 species